UCCUACGGGACGCAGCAGUGAGGAAUAUUGGUCAAUGGGCGCGAGCCUGAACCAGCCAAGUCGCGUGAGGGAGGACGGCCCUACGGGUUGUAAACCUCUUUUGCCGGGGAGCAACGGGAGUCACGUGUGGCGCCACUGAGAGUACCCGGAGAAAAAGCAUCGGCUAACUCCGUGCCAGCAGCCGCGGUAAUAAGGAGGAUGCGAGCGUUAUCCGGAUUUAUUGGGUUUAAAGGGUGCGUAGGCGGAUCGUUAAGUCAGUGGUCAAAUUGAGGGGCUCAACCCCGUCCCGCCAUUGAAACUGGCGG
rnacentral:rRNA from 1 species